rnacentral:rRNA from 1 species
GGCGGACGGGUGAGUAACGCGUAGGAAUCUACCUAUUGGUGGGGGAUAGCCCAGGGAAACUUGGAUUAAUACCGCAUAAGCUCUUAGGAGGAAAGCGGGGGAUCUUCGGACCUCGUGCCAAUAGAUGAGCCUGCGUAAGAUUAGCUAGAUGGUGGGGUAAUGGCCUACCAUGGCGACGAUCUUUAGCUGGUCUGAGAGGAUGAUCAGCCACACUGGGACUGAGACACGGCCCAGACUCCUACGGGAGGCAGCAGUGGGGAAUAUUGCACAAUGGGCGCAAGCCUGAUGCAGCCAUGCCGCGUGUGUGAAGAAGGCCUUAGGGUUGUAAAGCACUUUCAGUGGGGAGGAAAGGUUAUAAGUUAAUACCUUAUAGCUGUGACGUUACCCACAGAAGAAGGACCGGCUAAUUCCGUGCCAGCAGCCGCGGUAAUACGGAAGGUCCGAGCGUUAAUCGGAAUUACUGGGCGUAAAGCGCAC